rnacentral:rRNA from 1 species
GACGAACGCUGGCGGCGUGCCUAAUACAUGCAAGUAGGACGCAGUUGCGAACGGGUGAGUAACGCGUAGGUAACUACCUAUUAGAGGGGGAUAACUAUUGGAAACGAUAGCUAAUACCGCAUACUAGUAGAUGGAUCUGCGUUGUAUUAGCUAGUAGGUAGGGUAAUGGGCUACCUAGGCAACGAUACAUAGCCGACCUGGGAGGGUGGUCGGCCAAAAUGGGAAUGAGACACGGCCCAGAAUCCUACGGGAGGCAGCAGUAGGGAAUCUUCGGGAAUGGGGGGAACCCUGGCCGAGCAACGGCGGGGGAGUGAAGGAGGGUUUCGGAUUGUAAAGCUCUGUUGUUAAGGAAGCGGUACUUAACCAGAAAGGGACGGCUAACUACGUGCCAGCAGCCGCGGUAAUAC